UACGAAGGGGGCUAGCGUUGCUCGGAAUCACUGGGCGUAAAGCGCACGUAGGCGGACUCUUAAGUCGGUGGUGAAAUCCUGGAGCUCAACUCCAGAACUGCCUUCGAUACUGAGAGUCUUGAGUCCGGGAGAGGUGAGUGGAACUGCGAGUGUAGAGGUGAAAUUCGUAGAUAUUCGCAAGAACACCAGUGGCGAAGGCGGCUCACUGGCCCGGUACUGACGCUGAGGUGCGAAAG
rnacentral:rRNA from 1 species